CGCCCGCGGCGCGGUGAGAUUCCGAACCGGGUCAGAUCCGGGAGGAAGCAGCCCUAAGGAUCCCUCACCGGUGCCGCGGUCCUUC
rnacentral:SRP_RNA from 1 species